CAGCAGGCGAGAAACCUUUGCAAUGUGCGAAAGCACGACAAGGUUAAUCCGAGUGUCUCCUGCUAAAGGAGUCUUUUGUCAGUUCUAGAAUCACUGGUGAAUAAGGGGUGGGCAAGUUCUGGUGUCAGCCGCCGCGGUAA
rnacentral:rRNA from 1 species